AAUCAACGCUGGCGGCGUGCCUCAGACAUGCAAGUCGAACGAUUAAAGCUCUCUUCGGAGAGUGUAUAGAGUGGCGCACGGGUGAGUAACACGUAAGUAAUCUACCUUCGAGUGGGGAAUAACGUCCGGAAACGGACGCUAAUACCGCAUAAUGCAGCGGCAUCGCAAGAUGACAGUUGGUAAAGAUUUAUCGCUUGAAGAGGAGCUUGCGGCAGAUUAGCUAGUUGGUAAGGUAAUGGCUUACCAAGGCUACGAUCUGUAACCGGUCUAAGAGGACGGUCGGUCACACUGACACUGAAUAACGGGUCAGACUCCUACGGGAGGCAGCAGUCGGGAAUUUUGGGCAAUGGGCGAAAGCCUGACCCAGCAACGCCGCGUGAAGGAUGAAGUAUUUCGGUAUGUAAACUUCGAAAGAAUAGGAAGAAUAAAUGACGGUACUAUUUAUAAGGUCCGGCUAACUACGUGCCAGCAGCCGCAGUAA
rnacentral:rRNA from 1 species